rnacentral:rRNA from 1 species
GACGAACGCUGGCGGCGUGCUUAACACAUGCAAGUCGAACGGAAAGGCCCUGCUUUUGUGGGGUGCUCGAGUGGCGAACGGGUGAGUAACACGUGAGUAACCUGCCCUUGACUUUGGGAUAACUUCAGGAAACUGGGGCUAAUACCGGAUAGGAGCUCCUGCUGCAUGGUGGGGGUUGGAAAGUUUCGGCGGUUGGGGAUGGACUCGCGGCUUAUCAGCUUGUUGGUGGGGUAGUGGCUUACCAAGGCUUUGACGGGUAGCCGGCCUGAGAGGGUGACCGGCCACAUUGGGACUGAGAUACUGCCCAGACUCCUACGGGAGGCAGCAGUGGGGAAUAUUGCACAAUGGGCGGAAGCCUGAUGCAGCAACGCCGCGUGCGGGAUGACGGCCUUCGGGUUGUAAACCGCUUUCGCCUGUGACGAAGCGUGAGUGACGGUAAUGGGGAAAGAAGCACCGGCUAACUACGU